AGAGUUUGAUCCUGGCUCAGAACGAACGCUGGCGGCAGGCCUGAGGCAUGCAAGUCGAACGAGAACGUCCCUUCGGGGAUUAGUAUAGUGGCGCACGGGUGCGUAACACGUGGGAACUUACCUAUUGGUAGGGAAUAACCAUUAGAAAUGAUGGCUAAUACCCUAUGGUCCCUUCGGGGUAAAGAUUUAUCGCCAAUGGAUAGGCCCGCGGCAGAUUAGCUAGUUGGUAAGGUAAUGGCUCACCAAGGCUAUGAUCUGUAGCUGGUUUGAGAGAAUGAUCAGCCACACCGGAACUGAGACACGGUCCGGACUCCUACGGGAGGCAGCAGCUAGGAAUAUUGGACAAUGGGGGAAACCCUGAUCCAGCCAUGUCGCGUGAGUGAAGAAGGCCUUCGGGUUGUAAAGCUCUGUCAGAGGGGAAGAACCGCCGGGUGGCUAAUACCUGCCUGGUCUGACGGUACCCUCAAAGGAAGCACCGGCUAACUCCGUGCCAGCAGCCGCGGUAAUACGGAGGGUGCAAGCGUUGUUCGGAAUUAUUGGGCGUAAAGCGCGUGUAGGCGGUUUGUUAAGUCUGGUGUGAAAGCCCUGGGCUCAACCUGGGAAGUGCAUUGGAUACUGUAAGACUUGAAUACGGGAGAGGGCAGUGGAAUUCCUAGUGUAGGAGUGAAAUCCGUAGAUAUUAGGAGGAACACCGGUGGCGAAGGCGGCUGCCUGGACCGAUAUUGACGCUGAGACGCGAAAGCGUGGGUAGCAAACAGGAUUAGAUACCCUGGUAGUCC
rnacentral:rRNA from 1 species